UAAAGAAUUUCGGUAUGGGAUGGGGAUGCGUUCCAUUAGUUAGUUGGCGGGGUAACGGCCCACCAAGACAACGAUGGAUAGGGGUUCUGAGAGGAAGGUCCCCCACAUUGGAACUGAGACACGGUCCAAACUCCUACGGGAGGCAGCAGUGAGGAAUAUUGGUCAAUGGACGAGAGUCUGAACCAGCCAAGUAGCGUGAAGGAUGACUGCCCUAUGGGUUGUAAACUUCUUUUAUAUGGGAAUAAAACGUUCCACGUGUGGAAUUUUGUAUGUACCAUAUGAAUAAGGAUCGGCUAACUCCGUGCCAGCAGCCGCGGUAAUACGGAGGAUCCGAGCGCUAUCCGGAUUUAUUGGGUUUAAAGGGAGCGUAGGUGGAUUGUUAAGUCAGUUGUGAAAGUUUGCGGCUCAACCGUAAAAUUGCAGUUGAAACUGGCAGUCUUGAGUACAGUAGAGGUGGGCGGAAUUCGUGGUGUAGCGGUGAAAUGCUUAGAUAUCACGAAGAACUCCGAUUGCGAAGGCAGCUCACUGGACUGCAACUGACACUGAGGCUCGAAAGUGUGGGUAUCAAACAGGAUUAGAUACCCUGGUAGUCCACACAGUAAACGAUGAAUACUCGCUGUUUGCGAUAUACAGCAAGCGGC
rnacentral:rRNA from 1 species